rnacentral:tRNA from 8 species
GGAGGAGUCGCAUAGAGGCCUAGUGCACACGCUUGGAAAGCGUGCAUCCGCAAGGAUUCGUGGGUUCGAAUCCCACCUCCUCCGCCA